rnacentral:lncRNA from 1 species
CUUCCAGCAAUGUACCCGUCAAUUAGCGACCUAAUAAUUCAAUUUGAUUUAAACAAAGUGGUCGGGCCUGAUAUAGAACAAUUGACAGAUGCAUUUGGAAGAGAUAUACUAAAGGAUGAAUUCAAGACACGAUCAAAGAGUCUCCCUGAGACUGAUGAACGAUUGCAUAGUACAACUGAGAGAGGUACAAUAAAUGAUGCAAUUAAGACGCAGUUAAAGAGAAA